AGAGAAAAUAAUAAUGAUUCCCUAAGUAGUGGCGAGCGAACGGGGAAGAGCCUAAACCGAAUUAGUUACGGCUAGUUCGGGGUUGUAGGACUGACGUAAUCAAAUAACAACGAACUGGAACAUGUUGGGAAGCAUGACCGUAGAAGGUGAAAGUCCUGUACGGGUAAGGUGUUAAGCGAGGUCAGGAUCCUGAGUAGGGCGGGACCGGAGAAAUCCCGUUUGAAUCUGCCGGCACCAUCCGGUAAGGCUAAAUACGAAUGAGAGACCGAUAGUGAACAAGUACCGUGAGGGAAAGGUGAAAAGUACCGUGAAUAACGGGGUGAAAUAGAACCUGAAACCGUGCGCUUACAAGCGGUCGGAGCCCUUUAGUGGGGUGACGGCGUGCCUUUUGCAUAAUGAGCCUACGAGUUACUCUUCGUUAGCAAGGUUAAGGGUUUAAGGCCCGCAGCCGGAGCGAAAGCGAGUCUGAAUAGGGCGUGCUAGUUAGCGGAGGUAGACGCGAAACCCAUGUGAUCUACCCAUGUCCAGGGUGAAGUUACGGUAAAACGUAAUGGAGGCCCGAACCGGUAAACGUUGAAAAGUUUUCGGAUGAGGUGUGGGUAGGGGUGAAAGGCCAAUCAAACUGGGAAAUAGCUCGUACUCCCCGAAAUGUUUUUAGGAACAGCGUGAGUGGAGUCUGACAGAGGUAGAGCUACCAAUAGGACUAGGGGGAGUCAAAUCCUACCAAAUCCUGAUGAACUCCGAAUGCUGUCAGAUGCUCGCUUGCAGUGAGGGUUAGGGUGCUAAGGUCCUAAUCCGAGAGGGAAAGAACCCAGAUCCGCAGCUAAGGUCCCCAAAUGUAUACUAAGUUGAACUAAGGUAGUCAAGUUGCUUAGACAGCCAGGAGGUUAGCUUGGAAGCAGCUAUUCCUUUAAAGAGUGCGUAACAGCUCACUGGUCGAGCGACAGGGCAUCGAUAAUAAUCGGGCAUAAAGUAUACUACCGAAGCUCGGAACUCGAAAGAGUGGUAGGGGAGCAUUCUAUUUGUGACGAAGGUGUGAUGUGAGUCAUGCUGGAACGGAUAGAAAAGCAAAUGUAGGCAUAAGUAACGAUAAGACGGGCGAGAAACCCGUCCACCGCAAAGCUAAGGUUUCCAUGGCAAUGCUAAUCAGCCAUGGGUUAGUCAGGACCUAAGGCGAACCCGAAAGGGGUAGUCGAUGGCAAAUCGGUUAAUAUUCCGAUACCUGCGUAUGGAACGAUGGGGCGACGGAGUAGUGAAAGGUCCGCGCGCUGACGGAAUAGCGCGUUAAAGCGUGUAGGUAAUAUUGGUGUAGGCAAAUCCGCACCGAUAGCUGAACGUGAUAGUACUACAAUCCUUCGGGAGCGUAGAUAGUGACUGUAAUCAGACUUCCAAGAAAACCCUCUAAGUAUAUGCAUACGCAGCCUGUACCGUAAACCGACACAGGUAGCUGAGGAGAGUAUCCUAAGGUGCUCGAGUGAUUCGUGGCUAAGGAACUAGGCAAAAUGACCCUGUAACUUCGGGAGAAGGGGUGCUUCCUCACCUUCGGGUGAGAAGCCGCAGUGAAGAGGCCCAGGCGACUGUUUAACAAAAACACAUGGCUCUGCGACACCGAAAGGUUAAGUAUAGGGCCUGACACCUGCCCGGUGCCGGAAGGUUAAGGGGGGACGUUAGCGUAAGCGAAGCGUUGAACUGAAGCCCCGGUAAACGGCGGCCGUAACUAUAACGGUCCUAAGGUAGCGAAAUUCCUUGUCGGGUAAGUUCCGACCUGCACGAAUGGUGUAACGAUCUGGGCACUGUCUCGGCCACGAGCUCGGUGAAAUUGUAGUAACGGUGAAGAUGCCGUUUACCCGCAGUGGGACGGAAAGACCCCAUGAACCUUUACUAUAGCUUCACAUUGGUAUUGUGUAAACGAUGUGUAGGAUAGCCGGGAGGCUUUGAAGCUGCGUCGCUAGGCGUGGUGGAGCCGUUGUUGAAAUACCGGCCUUUGUUUACGUGAUAUCUAACCCUUAAUAGGGGACAGUGUGUGGUGGGUAGUUUGACUGGGGUGGUCGCCUCCAAAAAAGUAUCGGAGGCUUCCAAAGGUACCCUCAGCACGGUUGGUAAUCGUGCGAAGAGCGCAA
rnacentral:rRNA from 1 species